UGGCCACAUUACAUUGAAACACCAGAUCCUCAUACAAUCAUUGAAGUUAAGCAAUGUUGAGCCUGAUCAGUACCUAGAUGAGUGAAUGUUUGGGAAUACCAGGUGCUGUAAG